rnacentral:rRNA from 1 species
AGUGAACGCUGGCGGUAGGCCUAACACAUGCAAGUCGAACGGCAGCACAGGAGAGCUUGCUCUCUGGGUGGCGAGUGGCGGACGGGUGAGGAAUACAUCGGAAUCUACUUUUUCGUGGGGGAUAACGUAGGGAAACUUACGCUAAUACCGCAUACGACCUACGGGUGAAAGCAGGGGACCUUCGGGUCUUGCGCGAUUGAAUGAGCCGAUGUCGGAUUAGCUAGUUGGCGGGGUAAAGGCCCACCAAGGCGACGAUCCGUAGCUGGUCGGAGGGGAUGAUCAGCCACACUGGAACUGAGACACGGACCAGACUCGUACGGGAGGCAGCAGUGGGGAAUAUUGGACAAUGGGCGCAAGCCUGAUCCAGCCAUACCGCGUGGGUGAAGAAGGCCUUCGGGUUGUAAAGCCCUUUUGUUGGGAAAGAAAUCCAGCUGGCUAAUACCCGGUUGGGAUGACGGUACCCAAAGAAUAAGCACCGGCUAACUUCGUGCCAGCAGCCGCGGUAA